rnacentral:rRNA from 1 species
ACGAUGAAGCUGGAGCUUGCUCCGGUGGAUUAGUGGCGAACGGGUGAGUAACACGUGAGCAAUCUGCCCUUGACUCUGGGAUAACUGCGGGAAACUGUAGCUAAUACCGGAUACUUUCCUCGGUGGGCAUCCACUGGGGAAGAAAGAAUUUCGGUCAAGGAUGAGCUCGCGGCCUAUCAGCUAGUUGGUGAGGUAAUGGCUCACCAAGGCGACGACGGGUAGCCGGCCUGAGAGGGUGACCGGCCACACUGGGACUGAGACACGGCCCAGACUCCUACGGGAGGCAGCAGUGGGGAAUAUUGCACAAUGGACGCAAGUCUGAUGCAGCAACGCCGCGUGAGGGACGAAGGCCUUCGGGUUGUAAACCUCUUUUAGCAGGGAAGAAGCGAAAGUGACGGUACCUGCAGAAAAAGCACCGGCUAACUACGUGCCAGCAGCCGCGGUAAUACGUAGGGUGCAAGCGUUGUCCGGAAUUAUUGGGCGUAAAGAGCUCGUAGGCGGUUUGUCACGUCUGCUGUGAAAUUUCGAGGCUCAACCUCGAACUUGCAGUGGGUACGGGCAGGCUAGAGUGCAGUAGGGGAGAUGGGAAUUCCUGGUGUAGCGGUGGAAUGCGCAGAUAUCAGGAGGAACACCAAUGGCGAAGGCACAUCUCUGGGCUGUAACUGACGCUGAGGAGCGAAAGCGUGGGGAGCGAACAGGAUUAGAUACCCUGGUAGUCCACGCCGUANACGGUGGGUGCUAGCUGUGGGCCACAUUCCACGUGGUCCGUGACGAAGUUAACACAUUAAGCACCCCGCCUGGGGAGUACGGCCGCAAGGCUAAAA